GUACACGCUGUGACUAGCAUAUCAAUAAGCGGAGGAAAAGAAACUAACAAGGAUUCCCCUAGUAACGGCGAGUGAAGCGGGAAGAGCUCAAAUUUGAAAUCUUAAAGGGUUUCCCUUUACGAAUUGUAGUUUAAAGAAGUGUUUUCUGUUGAGGUUUUGGUAAAAGUUCUUUGGAAUAGGACAUCAUAGAGGGUGAGAAUCCCGUAUUUGACCUUUACUUUCAACUUUGUGAUACACUUUCAAAGAGUCGGAUUGUUUGGGAAUGCAGUCCAAAAUGGGUGGUAAAUUUCAUCUAAAGCUAAAUAUUGGCGAGAGACCGAUAGCGAACAAGUACCGUGAGGGAAAGAUGAAAAGAACUUUGAAAAGAGAGUUAAACAGUACGUGAAAUUGUCAAAAGGGAAGCGUUUGACACCAGUGUUGUUUUUCUGAAAAUCAAUUAAAGAACUGUUUAUGCUAAGUUGUUUAGACUUUAUCAGCUAACUGUUUAGUUUUGAGCUUUUCUUUAAUGCACUUUUCAGUUAACAAGUCAACAUCAAUUUCUUUUGCUGUAAAAAAGCUUGAGGAAGGUGGCUUGAGAUUCGUCUUAAGUGUUUAUAGCCUCUUGCCUAUGCAGUCGGAGAGAUUGAGGUCUGCAGCGUAGAUCCUUCGGGGCUAAAUGCACUUUGUGCUAAGUUAUAGCAUUUUAUAGACAACUUGUUGACUAUGAUUUGUCUUGUAGCUUACUCGCUUAUGUUAUUUUACCUACGCUUAGGAUGUUGAGUCGUAGAGCACGCAG
rnacentral:rRNA from 1 species